GAAAGGAACCAGGCAGGGAAAGGGAACCAAGAAGAGGAAUUCGGUUCUUCUAAGAAACAAGACCCUUCCUUUGUUCCUAAUAACGCUAAUAACACCAAGAAAGGUGGUGGUGGGAUUAAGAAGACAGAGCAGAAGAACAUGGAACAAUGGAAAUAUUAAUUUUGUAA